UAAUGGAAAGUCGACAUAGAGGCCAGGGGAGGCGAGGCAGGGCUGGAGCCAUGGACCUCACCUUUGAUUAGAGGAGCAUUAAAGAAUAUCCCUGCAACUGCUCACGAAGUACUGGUGUUGUUUAGGGUUUGUUCUCUGUGCAUGGAGACUCAGCUGGUCACACAGCUAAACACGUUUCAUGGUUUGUGUUUCUGCUUAUAUAAAAUAGUCAUCGGUAGGAUUGCCAAGAGCCCAGUUACAUUGAAUUUUAGAUAAAUAUCCAGCGUCUGUCCUGUGCUGCUACACCCUGCAGCCGCUGCCAGGAGCUCCUGCUGGUGAGGCCCCCAAUCAACAGGUGCCCUGGUUACUCUAUCUGCAGAGGAGAAGACAGAGCUCAGAGGCAGCACAGGU
rnacentral:lncRNA from 1 species